AUGCUUGCUCUCUCUGUCUCUCCACAGAGAGAGAAGAACUGGAAGCAAAGAACUGGAAGCUCUUUCUCUUAUACCAGGUGCAAGGAAGAGCAGCAGAGUCAGGUGCGUGGCCGACGGACAGAGAUGGGACCACACUUCCCUGCUGUGAGUGAGGUAACACAACCAUGUCCCCCAGCCAGAGCAGGUCUCCACAUGGCCUUUGAAGUUCAUGCAGUUUUGCAUGCCAAGUGUGUCAUAGCACAGAACUGGCAAUUUAGUACUAACUUGCAACUGAAAUAAUGCGCAAAGGCUGUUCCUAAGAAACAACAGUCAUCCACCCAAGUGAAAUUCUGAUUUGCUAGCUGCACCC
rnacentral:lncRNA from 1 species